rnacentral:rRNA from 1 species
UACGGGGGGAGCAAGCGUUGUUCGGAUUUACUGGGCGUAAAGGGCGCGUAGGCGGUCAGCACAAGUCAGUUGUGAAAUCUCCGGGCUUAACCCGGAAAGGUCAACUGAUACUGUGCGACUAGAGUGCGGAAGGGGCAACUGGAAUUCUCGGUGUAGCGGUGAAAUGCGUAGAUAUCGAGAGGAACACCUGCGGCGAAGGCGGUUCUCUGGGACGGUACUGACGCUGAGACGCGAAAGCGUGGGGAGCGAACAGG